CGAGAACCGGGGAGCUUGCUCCCCGGGGACAGUGGCGAACGGGUGAGUAACACGUGAGUAAUCUGCCCUCGAGCGGGGGAUAACUCCGCGAGAGCGGAGCUAAUACCGCAUGAAACUUUGGAGCAUAAGCUUUCAAAGUCAAAGCUUUCGGGUGCUUGAGGAUGAGCUCGCGGCCUAUUAGCUUGUUGGUAGGGUAACGGCCUACCAAGGCAACGAUGGGUAGCCGGCCUGAGAGGGUGUUCGGUCACACUGGGACUGCGACACGGCCCAGACUCCUACGGGAGGCAGCAGUGGGGAAUUUUGCGCAAUGGGCGAAAGCCUGACGCAGCGACGCCGCGUGGAGGAUGAAGGUUUUCGGAUUGUAAACUCCUGUCAGAGGUGAAGAAAGCCCUUAUGGGUCUGACGGUAACCUCAGAGGAAGCCCCGGCUAACUACGUGCCAGCAGCCGCGGUAAUACGUAGGGGGCAAACGUUGCUCGGAAUUACUGGGCGUAAAGGGUGCGCAGGUGGCUGAGAAAGUCGUUGAUGAAAUCCCGGGGCUUACCCCCGGAACUGUCUUCGAUACUUCUCAGCUUGAGGAUAGUCGAGGAGAACGGAAUUCCCGGUGGAGCGGUGAAAUGCCGUAGAUAUUCGGGAGGAACACCAGAGGCGAAGGCGGUUCUCUAGGCUGAUCCUGACACUGAGGCACGAAAGCUAGGGGAGCG
rnacentral:rRNA from 1 species